GGGCCGGUAGCUCAGCCUGGCUAGAGCACUUGGCUUUUAACCAAGGGGUCGGGGGUUCAAAUCCCCUCCGGUCCG
rnacentral:tRNA from 1 species